UCCCUUUUUCUUGAAUGCUAUGAUAGUUCUGCUUUCCCUUGGAAAGUUUCGAAACUAUCUUAUUUGGUGCGGGGUCAGUUUUCUUCUUUCAAUUGCUAUUUGACUUUUGAUAAUUUCAUUCUUCUACUGUACUGUAUCCACUUAUCAGUUACUAGUAUUUUCGGAUAAUUUUACUUCUUUACUGAUUUCGACUUAAAGGUCAUAAAGGGCAAGUUCAGAUGCCAACAUUACUGUUUCCUUCCUGUCAUGUCCAUGAAUGGCUGUGUUGAUAUAGCUUCCCUGUGAGAGCUUCUGUCUAACACCUGAACUGAUUCAGUUGGUGCUAAACUAGGAGGGCUUGUGUGACAGCAAGUAACCAGUUUAGCGGCUAACUAUAAUUCUUAAAUGUUGGAAUUACGAACACUUAACAGUGGAGGGAGGGAGGGAGGGAGGGAGGGAGAGAGAGAGAUUCCAUGGUCCUUCUACCAGAAGUUCAGUUAUGGUGUUGAGCUGGGGGUAUAUCUGAGCCAUUUACUUGUACAUGUCCCAACUUUUGUGCCCACCAGAUCAUGAUUUGCUAUUGGCUUCUCUCUGUUAUUCUGUUUGUGGAAUUUGUGCUAGGUUCUGUUGAUGGCGAUGAUGAGUAAGGCUCAUUAGAGGUGUACUGAGUUCAGAUACUAUCGCUUGUUUUUACGGGUAUGGUUUUCGGUUAGGGUUUUUUGUGACUAGGUGGAUUGCUUUCUGUGAGCAACCAUUUCAAUGCUCAAAUGUCACACAGGGGUGUAAGGGCAUCUCCAACGCGGAUCACCAAGGAUACACUAUACAGAGUGGGUUGACCAUAUGAUAGACAAGCCAACUCUGAGCCUCCCAUUUUUAUUGAUAAAUAUGACCUCUCUUUCUACAAUUUGUGGUUAUUUGCUUAUGUAUAUUUUGGAAUAUUCUCAAUCUAUUAAUGAACUAUAGCAGUAUUGGGAUCUCACUGUAGUAUAUAUAUGUUAUCAUCUGUGGAACUUACAAGAUAUGCUCAUAGCAAACUGGAUUUUGUGCUAUUUUACACUUACAUACUCGGAAUGCUUUUACUUGCUGAUGCAUCAAGAGGUUCUACUUUAUUUGAGGGCCUUGGGAAGCGGCAGAGGGCUUCACAUCUUUUGUUCAAAAUAUGCUAUUAUUUGCAACUGUACGUCCUUUGUUACUUGCAUGUUCUGUUUCUAUGCUCAGCGUUCCCGUUUAGUCCUUCCUGUACUUUAUUUCGCGCAUGGUUUUCUUCCUUUUCGUACCUUUUUAUAUUGUAUAAAUUGUGCUACGUUGCUCUUUUUCAUUCAUGCAUCUGCUGCACUAUGGUCUAUGGCACCUCAAGCGUCAACCAAAAGAUAUUACAUUUGGUCUUCGAUGUCAUUAUAUAUUUCUAGGUUUGCCUCUUGUGUGUUUCCCUUUUUCUGUGCACCAUUGAUAUUUCCAGUAAUACUCCCUCCGUCCGAAAAUACUUGUCAUCAAAAUGAAUAAAAGGAGAUGUAUCUAGACGUAUUCUAGUUCUAGAUACAUCCCUUUUUAUCCAUUUCGAUGACAAGUAUUGUCGGACGGAGGGAGUAUGUGAUCUGAACUUCAGUGUACUGUGCAUCUUGAUCUCCUAUGUAGUUAAUUCCUUAGCUAUCAGUGGGUAACUUUUGACCUACUGCUUCCUUUAAUGAUAUACCCCCUCCGUCCCAUAAUGUAAGAUGUUUUUUGACACUACACUGUGUCAAAACGCCUUGCAUUAUGGGACGGAGGGAGUAAUUUUUAUGAAACGUAUAGGAAUAAACUUGCUCACCUAGAAACCUCGAUAUUAGAUUAUCACGAGCUACAAACGUAUGAACUACCACCAUGAAAUACUUCAAAGUCUAAUGAGUUCUGAUGAUGCUCUGUCAUGUAUUCUGGUGUGGUAAUAAUAAGUAUGCCUUGGAGCAGCGAUAGAGCUUUUUUAUGUGGCCGCCCUUCUCUGUAGUGAUGCCUGUUCAAGUCAUAUAUGCAAGUGUUGGUGGUGCUGUAAUUCAUUUGGUCAAUCUGGUAACAUGCAUGUCACAUUAGGAUGCAACGAGUGUGAGCGCAUAUGAGCAUUAAGAUGGAGAGAAUACUAGUAGGAAUUGCCAUGUCAGUGGCUUGGCUUUAUGCAUGAGCCCUCGGUGCAACUGUACUACCACACGAUCUGUACUUACAAUAUUAUGUUUUUGACAGCUACGUGCCUACAUGUUUACUACCAGAAUUUAGUGGCCUGUUGAUGCUGUUUGUAAAUUAUGUUGUUUGAGAUUAAAAAGUACUACUACCUCUGUUCCUAAAUGUAAGACGUUUUGGCAGUUUAAUUAACGUCUUACAUUUAGGACCACGGGGUGUAUUUCGUUUUGCGAGAACUACAGCUGUUGCUGGAUUUGCCCAUGUUUGAUAUUCUUGACUAUUAAUUUUCUCCCCAUAUACAUGUUCAGUGUUGCUAUGUAUGCACAUAUAUAAUGCCCAGUAAAUAUCAGAAUACGAAAGUGUUGCUGUACAUACACGUAGAUAAUGCCCAGUAAAUAUCAGCGUAACAAUUUGUACGGAAGAUUUUUAUUAUUCAUUAUCUUGAGGCGUAAUGUUGAUAAUCCCAAUUUUGAGUUUCCUCUGUGUCAAUCGGAAUUGUGAUGUCGUCAGCUGAUCACACCGUAGCUCCUUUGUGGAGUGGUUCUGCAUGAAGAACGGACACAAAUGAGGGCUGACUCAUCGCUUGUUGGUGUAAUCUUUGUCUAGGCUCGUUUGUUCAAGAUGAAAUUGUUGGCUUACUAAUG
rnacentral:lncRNA from 1 species